rnacentral:misc_RNA from 1 species
AAGAGUGGCUGGAAUUUGAGAAUUGGCUUCUAGUGGUAGCAAAUUAUCAAAGUUUGGGUUUGAUUUGAUUGGAUUGAGCAGUAGCAAAGAUGUGGAAAAUAUAUUGGUAUGUAGGAUAAGUAAUGGUUAGGCAAUAGAUUAAAUUUUAAGGUUGAUGGAAGCAAACAAAGAAUAAUAGAAACAAAGAAUAAUAGCCUUUGGCUUUUGGGUUGCUAGCAGCGGAACUAAAAGAGAAACAGGAGGAAAAGGUGUAAAUAUGAAGAGCAAAGGGAGCAAGAAAAAGAAAGUACACAGAAAAAGAAAGUACACACUACACCAGUGUUGUCAAAAGUGCUAGGCAUCCUUAAGGUGAGAAGGUCCUCCAACACCUGAGGCGCUAGGCGCUUGCCUGAGUGAGAUGAGGCACUAAUUUAUUCUAAAA